GUACCACGUGGGCCAGGCGCCCCGCAGCCUGAUCCCUCGGCUGAGGCGGGGUCAGAGGGCUAAGGGUGACUGACUGCCCAGUGCAUGGAUCUCAGCAGCACGGCUUGACUUUCGGGCGGCAGGCAAGGAUGCUAAUCCACAAGGUUCCUGAGUCCAACAUCCCUCCCUCCAAUGUGGGGCUCGAAUCCGCUAUUGCAACCAAACCCGGGUUCUGCCCGCAGGGUGGCGCAAUGACAAGAGCCACCAGGUGACCCUGGUAACUCCCGCACCUAGACCUACAGGAGCAGUUUUUCUGCAGCACCACAUCUGUAGCCCUGCAUGCCGCUGGCUCCAGUGUUGUGUGUGUGGUCAUGCUCCAUCCAGCCCAGCAGCAACUUUGGUGUUUGACACCCCUCGGGAGGCACCGCUUUGGAAGAGACUGGUGUGUGCGGAGCCCAAGAUGUGUUGGGAACAGCUAUCGUUUCUACUGCUUUGUCCCAUGCCUCUGGAGCUCCUGGGUUCCUGAACUUCAAGCUGGGCCCCAUCCUUCACCCUAUCAGGGCCCUGGGUGGAGCUGACUUCCAACAGUAUACAGUGGGUCUUGGUACUUCCUCCUUGGCAUUCGACAGUUGGUGUUUUUGAAGUCAGAGCCAUCCUCAGUAGGCUCCUAGGGGAUCGUAAGCGGCUUUCUCUGGGUGGAAACCUACUCCAUGCAGCCUUCAGCAAAGGUACCAGCAUCUGUCACUGGGAUGGGGAAGUCCGGUGAUCGUGUCAGCAUGGGCUACGGUGGACGGGGAAAGGCUCGUUCUGACACUAGACACCUGGGUCUCUAGCCCUAUGCCUGGAUUUGUCUGGGGAACUCUGCACCACACUGAUCCUGGCUUUCCCCAUUACCUGCUCCAUGCCAGGAUCCUACGGCUGUUGAUCCCCUCGGAAGUGAGACAUAAUGUCCCGGAGCAGAUGCUGAUGGGGACUCACUGUUGGGCCACCUGAUUUCUGUGUUCAUCUUCCCAGGCUCCACCUUUCAGAUCCCAUCCCUGGUGUCUGCAGUUACAACUUUACUAACCAGAACUUUGUUUCCAGCUUACGCUGAAAAGCAAAGGGUGACUUAGAAUAAAAAUGUAACAAAUAGCCCCAUAGCCCAAACCUUUUCUGCCAUGAUUUACUGUACCAGAUACCUAUAAGUGUCCAGGGCAAAUUAAACACAUCAAUAAAUGGCUUUCUUGUGUC
rnacentral:lncRNA from 1 species